rnacentral:rRNA from 1 species
UAAGUAAUGUGAAUUGCAGAAUUCAGUGAAUCAUCGAAUCUUUGAACGCACAUUGCGCCCNUUAGUAUUCUAGUGGGCAUGCCUGUUCGAGCGUCAUUU